ACAGAGGGGGCAAGCGUUGUUCGGAAUUACUGGGCGUAAAGGGCGCGUAGGCGGCCUUCUAAGUCGAACGUGAAAUCCCCGGGCUCAACCCGGGAACUGCGUCCGAUACUGGAAGGCUUGAAUCCGGGAGAGGGAUGCGGAAUUCCAGGUGUAGCGGUGAAAUGCGUAGAUAUCUGGAGGAACACCGGUGGCGAAGGCGGCAUCCUGGACCAACACUGACACUGAGGAGCGAAAGCUAGGGGAGCAAACAGGA
rnacentral:rRNA from 1 species